CACGUAAUCAAGUGUUUGAGCUCCCCCUACGACCGAAGCACCGAAAAACUUCCACAUCUUUUAAACCAAAUUUAACGUUAACCAGAGGCGCCAUAUAUUCCAAGACAGCUACGCUUGCAAGGUUUUAAUCCGCUACAUUUAAUUCACACCCCUUUAAAAAAAUAAAUAAUUAAAUUAACCGCCUGAUUUUUGCAAUUUCAAUCUCUUUAACGUUUUAUUAACGCCGUC
rnacentral:lncRNA from 1 species